AUGAACGCUGGCGGCGUGCCUAAUACAUGCAAGUCGAGCGAACAGACGAGGAGCUUGCUCCUCUGACGUUAGCGGCGGACGGGUGAGUAACACGUGGAUAACCUACCUAUAAGACUGGGAUAACUUCGGGAAACCGGAGCUAAUACCAGAUAAUAUAUUGAACCGCAUGGUUCAAUAGUGAAAGACGGUUUUGCUGUCACUUAUAGAUGGAUCCGCGCCGCAUUAGCUAGUUGGUAAGGUAACGGCUUACCAAGGCGACGAUGCGUAGCCGACCUGAGAGGGUGAUCGCCCACACGGGAAGUGAGACACGGUCAAGACCCCUGGGGGGGGCGGAAGGAGGGAAUCUUCAGCAAGGGGAGAGACCGGGGCGGAGCAACGCCGGGUGAGUGAUAAAGUUCUUCGGAUCGAAAAACUCUUUUAUUGGGAAAAAAAAAAUGUGAAAGAAACGAUGCACGUCUUGACGGUCCAUAAUAAGAAAGCCCGGGCAAACUCCGGC
rnacentral:rRNA from 1 species